UUAUGUAGUUCAUACGUGUUUCUCGUUUCUCGUUUUUUUUUAUAUCGAUUAGACUGUUGGUUUUCCCGUUUUAAUGGUUUUACAUUAGUAAUUUUGGGGCCCUUUAUAGCUUGUUGUUCGGUGUGAGCCAAGGCUCUGUGUUGAAGGCCGUACAUUGACCUAUAAUGGUUUACUUUUAUAAAUUGUUAUUUGGAUGGAGAGUUGUCUCAUUAGCACUCACACCACAUCUUCC
rnacentral:lncRNA from 1 species